CAUGAAGCUGGAAUCGCUAGUAAUCGCGGAUCAGAAUGCCGCGGUGAAUACGUUCCCGGGUCUUGUACACACCGCCCGUCACACCAUGGGAGUCGGAAAUGCCCGAAGUCGGUGACCGAACCGAAAGGAAGGAGCCGCCGAAGGCAGGUCUGGUGACUGGGUGAAGUCGUAACAAGGUAGC
rnacentral:rRNA from 1 species